CGACAUUCCGAUCCUUCAAGUAGUUGUCCCUGUCCAUACCAUUGCCUGGCUCCACGUCGUAGACCUCGUUCAGGCAGGACAGGGUGUCAGCUGAUAUGUGAACUCGACUGUAGACAGGAGAAAUAGACAAAGAGCGUCCAGGUCCACUGGGAAUUAGCCAUAAAUAUUUUGAAGAUGGAGUAAUUCAUUGGAGACAAAAGUAAAUAAACCUUUGGACUUGACUUCGACAAAAUGGAGGCCAUGAAAUUCUCAGGAACGUGCAGGGACGUGAGGAGGUGGGGCUCGAAGGUUCAAGAUUUUUGUACCUAAAUUAGUGGCCAUCUAGGCCACCAUUAGAGUCCAAAUUAUAAUCCAAUUAUUUUGUAGGGUAAAAUGAUAAUUUUGGAAAACAUAAAUUGUUAAGUUUUAGUCAAGAUAAUUAUUGUGGUAUGAGAAUGAGUUUUUCAAAAAAAUUAACAUUUCGCCCUAGAACAUGUGGCCACUUAAGGGAUAGGAGCGAGGCAGGAUACUAGAAAACACGGGGAAACCCAUGAAGGAGAACCAGAGGAAAUGAACCAGUUCGUUCCCUCGUCUGGUCCCAGAAGCGGGAAAUGUGAAUCGUGUGGACAACAAAUGGAGAAAUCCAUUCACGUGGUGCAGAUACCUGGGGUCUUCAGGUGACUUAAUGUGGAUUCAUCGAAGCAAUUAAUUAGCUACUGUGAGACUAAUUACAGAGGUUUAAAUAGAAUACCUUCACAUGAAACAUGGAAAACUCCAAAAAGUCCUCGACAUCUUGAAAAUAACACAGAGAAACACAGGAAUUAAGUGAGGAAAAUAAUGAAUUUUUUAUACCCGGGGAUUCCCCCGCUCUCCAAGUGAUUGGCGAGGGUGACGUCGUAACUCCACACGUCGAAUUGCCACUUCCGGAGGCCCAGAACGCCGCACAAUACCGAACCACUGUGGAUGCCAAUUCUCAUGUCCAAAUCCACCUGGUGAAUUAAUUCCAUUAACGAAGAUAUUAAUGAGAGAGAGAAUUUAGAAACUCAAUUUCGUGAAAUUAAAAAUUGUAAAUCAUAUUACUAACAUGUAAUAUAUAACAUAUAAUAUGUUACAUAGUGUAAUAUAACAUAUUUGAUGUAAUAUAUCAUGAUGUAUUAUAAUAUAUUAUAUAUUAUUAUUAAUAAUAUAUUAAUAUACCGCAUAUUA